rnacentral:rRNA from 1 species
GACGAACGCUGGCGGCGUGCUUAACACAUGCAAGUCGAACGAAGAGCGAUGGAAGCUUGCUUCUAUCAAUCUUAGUGGCGAACGGGUGAGUAACGCGUAAUCAACCUGCCCUUCAGAGGGGGACAACAGUUGGAAACGACUGCUAAUACCGCAUACGAUCUAAUCUCGGCAUCGAGGAUAGAUGAAAGGUGGCCUCUACAUGUAAGCUAUCACUGAAGGAGGGGAUUGCGUCUGAUUAGCUAGUUGGAGGGGUAACGGCCCACCAAGGCGAUGAUCAGUAGCCGGUCUGAGAGGAUGAACGGCCACAUUGGGACUGAGACACGGCCCAGACUCCUACGGGAGGCAGCAGUGGGGAAUCUUCCGCAAUGGACGAAAGUCUGACGGAGCAACGCCGCGUGAGUGAUGACGGCCUUCGGGUUGUAAAGCUCUGUUAAUCGGGACGAAAGGCCUUCUUGCGAAUAGUUAGAAGGAUGACG